rnacentral:misc_RNA from 1 species
CGGGUGUAUGCUGAUUAGACUACAUCGUUGUACCGUUUCCUUUUACAGGUGCAGUGAAACCUCAUGUGUCUCAUUCAUCCAGCAUCUUGCCAACUUACAUGUAAAGGCCUGGUUGAAAUCAUUUGAAGCAGAACUUGGUGUUUGUAUAUGUACAGGAAACAAUAACGUACACGUACAAUGUAUGUUCUCCUGGCUCUUGCCUUGUGAAAGCUAGAGUGGACCGGCCAUAAUUGGCAAAACGUAUGUGAAUUACAACACGUAUCUUCCGAAGUACACAGAACUUGUUUUGUGGCCUACUGUGAUUGCCUACAGCUUAAGCUUUUGCGGUUGUUACUACUUCGUGCACAAUACCAAAAAUAAAAUGGAGCUGACGUGGUUGUACGCAUCCCUGAUAAUUGCUGUCUGUUGCAACACGUUCUGUGCCGCGACAACACAGACCAGUUCAAAACAGACUAAUUUUGUCGUCUUCAUCAUGGACGACGUGGGAAUGGGCGAUCUGGGCUGUUUUGGGAACGACACGAUGAAGACCCCGAACAUCGACCGUUUGGCGCAGGAGGGGGCCAAACUCAGCCACCACUUGGCUCUGCCGCUGUGCACACCGAGCCGAGCUGCGCUCAUGACGGGACGACUGCCUGUCAGAUAUGGAAUGGGUUCCAGGCACAUCAUGAGAGUGUUUACGUUCCUCUCGGCCAAGGCCGGACUCCCGUCCAACGAGACCACCAUUGCCGAGCUUUUGAAGGAGUCUGGCUAUUCCACUGGACUUGUUGGAAAAUGGCAUCUGGGCUCUAUGUGUGAGUCAGAGACUGAGUGUUCCCACCCUAAUGGUCAAGGCUUUGAUUACUUCUUCGGCCUACCUCUAACAAACCUCCGAGACUGCGGCGGCAAGAGCAACGUCUUUGUUGCCUGGGAUCCCCACAUCUACCGCGACAUCGUCCUGACCUUUCUGGUGCUGCUGUGGGCGGCCUACACGGCCCGUAAGAAUGGCUACAUUGGGCCCCAGGGCUUUGUGGUAUGCGUGGCUACGGCGGUCAUACUCUGCGGGGGCUUCUUUGCCUUCAUUAAGUCCAUCCGCAUGAUGAACUGCGUGUUGAUGGAGAACCAACGAGUGGUGGAGCAGCCCCUCCAGUAUGACCGACUCACGGAGAGGCUCGACCGUCGAGCCGUCAGCUUCCUGGAGCAGAACCACGACAGACCCUUCCUCCUAGUUGUGUCCUUCUUGCAGGCCCACACGGCCCUCUUCCGAUCAGAGCGAUUCACAAAUCACAGUCGGCACGGUUUUUACGGCGACGUCGUGGAGGAGAUGGAUUCGAGUGUCGGGCAGGUCACUGCCACUCUGAAGCGGCUAGGCUUGGAAGACAACACAUUCGUUUACCUGACUUCAGACAAUGGUGGUCACGUGGAAGAGUUCUCAGAGGAAGGGGAAAGAGAAGGAGGAUGGAACGGCGUCUUUAAAGGAGGGAAAGCCAGCACCUGGGAAGGCGGCAUCCGCGUGCCGACCAUCGUCAAGUACCCUGGUGUGGUCUCUCCGGGGUCAGAGGUCACAGAGCCCACCCAGCUGUCAGACCUGCUGCCGACCAUCGCAGGGAUCGCGGGCGUACCGCUGCCAGACGACAGGGUUUACGACGGCAAGGAUCUCAUGCCGCUGUUGCGAGGCGAGACGAUCGGCAAGCCCCACCACGAGUUCAUGUACCAUUAUUGCGGGAGCUAUCUGCAUGCCGCCCGCUACACGCCAUCAGACUCUGACAGCAUCUACAAAGUUCACUUCAGCAGCGUCCUGCACGUUCCCGGACCCCACGGCACCACGGGCUGUUUUGGCACCUAUGCCUGCCGCUGCACGGGGUACUCUGUCAUCCAGCACGACCCACCUCUGGUCUACGACCUUACCCACGACCCCUCCGAGCUGAACCCCCUCGACCCGGACGACCCCGAGGUCAGCGAGGUCAUCUCCAGGAUGCAGGAGGCGGUGGCCGAUCACCAGAGUGGACUGGUCAAGCAGCAGGACCAGUUUGGAGUUCUUCGGCUGCUCCCCCGUCCCUGGAAGCAGCCGUGCUGCGGCACGUUCCCGUUGUGCUCUUGUAAAGACUCCCUGCAUUCGGAGAAACCCAUGUUACCGGAGGUGGUGAACCAACCAGACUGGGUACCAGUGGCCGAGGACAUUCCACAGAGUUGAGGUAAUUUCCCUUAACUGAGGUAACUUGAGGUAACUUUCCUUAACCGAGGUAACUUGAGGUAACUUUCCUUAACUGAGGUAACUUUCCUUAACUGAGGUAACUUGGGGUAACUUUCCUUAACUGAGGUAACUUGAGGUUACUGAGGUAAAUUGAGGUAAUUCUGAGUCUCCCACCAUUGGAGGGAAGGUAUUACAAUUGUCUGUAAAUAAAUUUACUAUUUUGUGUUCUCUAUCCACUUGGCUCAGUUUCAUUAGGGAAUCUUCACAAAUGCAAACAACACCUGUUCGACUUCUCACCGAGGAUCGGAGCUGGAUAUAAUAGUUGAUCUGCAAAAAAAGUCUUUCGUGUGUAAUUACACUGGCAGUGCAUGGAAAUAAAGAGAAA